CUUCUUCACUGAAUUCACCAGGCCUUGUGUUCAACUGUAAGCACUUCCCAGACAGAGUUUAGGAUGCAAAUGUAUACAUUCUUACAUCAUGGGAGUUCUCGUGUGGCAUGGGGUGAAGUCUCUUACUUCUGGCCACUUUCUGUUAGUACGUGAAAGUGGUGGCACAUACAAAAAGUGGAAGAUCAUGGGCUGUGAGAUGAAUUUAUCCAGGCAGAACUCUGCUCUCUACUCAGAAGAAAUAGAACUAAAAUGAUACUGGUUGUGGGCCGUGAUGAUACCAAAAUGAUACUGUGAGCCAUUCUCAGGGCAGCGUUAGCCUCAUAGCACGUACUUUUGACAUUUAGUCAGAUUACUGACUUCAGUGUGAUCAAGCUGCAUCCUUGAAAGGAGGCACAUAUUUUUCAAUUUUAUACAAAUUACAGAGCACCAAGGUGUGUUUCUUAUGAAGAAUAUCUUAGGGCCAAAGACAUAAAUACAUUAGUCUCCCUAGGCUUACUCUCAUUAAUAGCAGAAAGUGCAUAUUCAUGCUUUUGCUGUGAGGCAACGUACCCUGAUAUCUGCCUCUCUUCUCAUUUUCACCUUCCCCUCUAAAUUGCUCACAUUUUUCUCAUUUGUACAUUCCUGAUGAGUAAAGCAAAUUUAUUUCACCUGAGAGCAAGGAGGGAGGUAUCCAGUGAUAAGGCAAGAAUUUGAUGAGUAGCUGUGCAGUUUUUUCCUUUGAAAGCUCCUCACUCAACUUGUCCACCCUUUGGUGAUUAUUUCCUUUGGAAAUAGUUUUCUUAAAAACUACUUGGAUCUUAAGAACUUCACAUGCAGAGGACUGCUUUUGGGGUCCAGGAGUUUGAAACAGAAUAAGAUACUACAUUAGCCAGUGACCUGAAAUAAAAGCAAAUGGAACUCAGAAGAGCUUGCAGGGGUCAGGCAGUCCACGAUCUCCCUUACAGCCAGCUCCGUUUUACCCAGGCCAUUACUAGAAAAUGUCAGUUUGCCUUGUUCUUAAGAACAUCUCCUUAAAAACAUCCUCAAUCCUGCUACCUCAAGAAGCCAACUGUUCUGUUGCAGACAAAAAGGUGGUUUUGAUCUGUACCCAAAUAUUGAUUUUUGAAGGUUGAUAGCAUGGAGAAUACAAGAGCUCUUCAUGUUUCAAGUAUAUUCUCCAACUUUGGAAGCAAAAUAAAGAGAGUCACCCAGUGAUCCUGAACUCAAAUUACUUGCAAGUAAGAUUUUUUGCUGGAAGUUAAGGGACUGCUCCUGCACUUCUCAAAGACAUAGCAAAGAUUCCCUGGAAGAAGAGUUUAUAAAACAAGAAAGCCAUAGAGAAGAUGAUGAGAGAGAAAGGGCAGAAGUGGAGCAGAAGAGGGAGAAAACUCACCAGUGAGAUUGCACAGAUGUUCAGCAGGGAAGAGAGCAUUGCCUGGUGGAAGGAAGCAGCUAUUAAAUGGAAAAUAAAUAACUGUCAAGCCCUGUUGUUGUGGAAGAAAGAAGAGGGCAUAGGGAGAGGACUGCAUUUGGAUUGUCUGUUUUGCAUCCAGUAUGCAGCUGUGAUAGAACAAGAGGAAAUUGUGACAUUUUGAAACUUGUUUCCUUCUGAAGCAGAAUGAUUUGCAACACCUUUGCAAAUCCUGAAAAGGUCUGGGCCAUAUUAAAAAGCAUCAUUCCAUAUUUCUAGGAAAUCUUUCCCUGCAUAAUUGAAAUAAAUUCAUUUCAACAGCAAAGUCAAAGUGUCAUUAACUUUUAGGUAAUGCUUUUUCUAUGCAAAUCACUGCUAAACAGGGUAAACUCCCCAGAGGCAAACUGAGUGGUUUAUCUACAACUUUCUUUUCUUGUGGUCACAGAGGGGACUGUGGCAUGCUGCUGGAAGAGCAGGCAUAGCAGCAGCUGAUGCUUUUACCUUCCACAAAAAUUCCUAUCUUGGAGAUGGAGAAAUGCUGUAUUUUUCCUGUUUCAUUUUUUUAAAGUUCCCUUUCUCUUGCAAGUGAUUCUGUUAUGCUUCUGCUGUUCCAUUGAAAUAGAUGUCAUGAAGG
ensembl:lncRNA